rnacentral:rRNA from 1 species
UAACAAUGAUUUCCCUAGUAACGGCGAGUGAAGAGGAAAGAGCUCAAAGUUGGAAUCUGUUUGGCUUAGCUAAACCGAGUUGUAAACUGUAGAGGCAUUUCCCAGGUACACUAGACAAAAAAGUCCUUUGGAACAGGGCAUCAUAGAGGGUGAGAAUCCCGUCUUUGGUCUAAGUAGUUGCCUAUUGUGAUAUGUCUUCAAAGAGUCAGGUUGUUUGGGAAUGCAGCCUAAAUUGGGUGGUAAAUCUCACCUAAAGCUAAAUAUCUGCGAGAGACCGAUAGCGAACAAGUACCGUGAGGGAAAGAUGAAAAGAACUUUGAAAAGAGAGUUAAACAGUAUGUGAAAUUGUUAAAAGGGAACCGGUUGGAGCCAGACUGGCUUGAUUGUAAUCAACCUGGGAUUCGUCCGGGUGCACUUGCAGUCUAUGCCUGCCAACAACAGUUUGAUCUGGAGGAAAAAAUUAGCCGGAAUGUAGCCUCUCUCGGGAGGUGUUAUAGCCUGUUAUCAUACUCUGGGUUGGACUGAGGAUCGCAGCGAAUGCUCUCGGGCAGGAUUGCUGGGUGCUUUCGCCAAUAAAUGUUAGAAUUUCUGCCUCGGGUGGUGCUAAUGUUCAGCGGAGAAACUCGCCUAGUAUAUCUCUUAUUCGCUUAGGUUGUUGGCUUAAUGACUCUAAAUGA